rnacentral:rRNA from 1 species
AUUGAACGCUGGCGGCAUGCCUUACACAUGCAAGUCGAACGGCAGCACGGGUGCUUGCACCUGGUGGCGAGUGGCGAACGGGUGAGUAAUACAUCGGAACGUACCUUAUCGUGGGGGAUAACGCAGCGAAAGCUGUGCUAAUACCGCAUACGCCCUGGGGGGAAAGCGGGGGAUCGCAAGACCUCGCGCGAUUAGAGCGGCCGAUGCCUGAUUAGCUUGUUGGUGGGGUAAAAGCCCACCAAGGCGACGAUCAGUAGCUGGUCUGAGAGGACGAUCAGCCACACUGGGACUGAGACACGGCCCAGACUCCGACGGGAGGCAGCAGUGGGGAAUUUUGGACAAUGGGGGCAACCCUGAUCCAGCAAUGCCGCGUGAGUGAAGAAGGCCUUCGGGUUGUAAAGCUCUUUUGUCAGGGAAGAAACACCGGCUCUAACACAGUCCGGGAAUGACGGUACCUGAAGAAUAAGCACCGGCUAACUACGUGCCAGCCGCCGCAGUAA